rnacentral:rRNA from 1 species
UUGGGAUUAGCAUCCUGUCACCAGGUAGCUGCCUUCUGUACCCCCCAUUGUAACACGUGUGUAGCCCCGGACGUAAGGGCCGUGCUGAUUUGACGUCAUCCCCACCUUCCUCACAUCUUACGACGGCAGUCUCUCUAGAGUCCUCAGCAUGACCUGUUAGUAACUAAAGAUAAGGGUUGCGCUCGUUAUGGCACUUAAGCCGACACCUCACGGCACGAGCUGACGACAACCAUGCAGCACCUUCACAUUUGCCUUACGGCUAUACUGUUUCCAAUAUAUUCAAAUGCAAUUUAAGCCCGGGUAAGGUUCCUCGCGUAUCAUCGAAUUAAACCACAUGUUCCUCCGCUUGUGCGGGCCCCCGUCAAUUCCUUUGAGUUUCACCGUUGCCGGCGUACUCCCCAGGUGGAAUACUUAAUGCUUUCGCUUGGCCGCUUACUGUAUAUCGCAAACAGCGAGUAUUCAUCGUUUACUGUGUGGACUACCAGGGUAUCUAAUCCUGUUUGAUACCCACACUUUCGAGCAUCAGUGUCAGUUGCAGUCCAGUGAGCUGCCUUCGCAAUCGGAGUUCUUCGUGAUAUCUAAGCAUUUCACCGCUACACCACGAAUUCCGCCCACCUCUACUGUACUCAAGACAGCCAGUAUCAACUGCAAUUUUACGGUUGAGCCGCAAACUUUCACAACUGACUUAACUGUCCACCUACGCUCCCUUUAAACCCAAUAAAUCCGGAUAACGCUCGGAUCCUCCGUAUUACCGCGGCUGCUGGCACGGAGUUAGCCGAUCCUUAUUCAUAUGGUACAUACAAAAUUCCACACGUGGAAAACUUUAUUCCCAUAUAAAAGAAGUUUACAACCCAUAGGGCAGUCAUCCUUCACGCUACUUGGCUGGUUCAGGCCUGCGCCCAUUGACCAAUAUUCCUCACUGCUGCCUCCCGUAGGAGUUUGGACCGUGUCUCAGUUCCAAUGUGGGGGACCUUCCUCUCAGAACCCCUAUCCAUCGAAGGUUUGGUGAGCCGUUACCUCACCAACUGCCUAAUGGAACGCAUCCCCAUCGAUAACCGAAAUUCUUUAAUAAUAAGACCAUGCGGUNUNAU